AGUUUGAUCCUGGCUCAGGAUGAACGCUAGCUACAGGCUUAACACAUGCAAGUCGAGGGGCAGCAUUUUAGUUUGCUUGCAAACUAAAGAUGGCGACCGGCGCACGGGUGAGUAACACGUAUCCAACCUGCCGAUAACUCGGGGAUAGCCUUUCGAAAGAAAGAUUAAUAUCCGAUAGUAUAUUAAAACCGCAUGGUUUUACUAUUAAAGAAUUUCGGUUAUCGAUGGGGAUGCGUUCCAUUAGUUUGUUGGCGGGGUAACGGCCCACCAAGACUACGAUGGAUAGGGGUUCUGAGAGGAAGGUCCCCCACAUUGGAACUGAGACACGGUCCAAACUCCUACGGGAGGCAGCAGUGAGGAAUAUUGGUCAAUGGACGAGAGUCUGAACCAGCCAAGUAGCGUGAAGGAUGACUGCCCUAUGGGUUGUAAACUUCUUUUAUAUGGGAAUAAAGUAUUCCACGUGUGGAAUUUUGUAUGUACCAUAUGAAUAAGGAUCGGCUAACUCCGUGCCAGCAGCCGCGGUAAUACGGAGGAUCCGAGCGUUAUCCGGAUUUAUUGGGUUUAAAGGGAGCGUAGGUGGAUUGUUAAGUCAGUUGUGAAAGUUUGCGGCUCAACCGUAAAAUUGCAGUUGAAACUGGCAGUCUUGAGUACAGUAGAGGUGGGCGGAAUUCGUGGUGUAGCGGUGAAAUGCUUAGAUAUCACGAAGAACUCCGAUUGCGAAGGCAGCUCACUAGACUGUCACUGACACUGAUGCUCGAAAGUGUGGGUAUCAAACAGGAUUAGAUACCCUGGUAGUCCACACAGUAAACGAUGAAUACUCGCUGUUUGCGAUAUACAGUAAGCGGCCAAGCGAAAGCAUUAAGUAUUCCACCUGGGGAGUACGCCGGCAACGGUGAAACUCAAAGGAAUUGACGGGGGCCCGCACAAGCGGAGGAACAUGUGGUUUAAUUCGAUGAUACGCGAGGAACCUUACCCGGGCUUAAAUUGCAUUUGAAUAAUCUGGAAACAGGUUAGCCGCAAGGCAAAUGUGAAGGUGCUGCAUGGUUGUCGUCAGCUCGUGCCGUGAGGUGUCGGCUUAAGUGCCAUAACGAGCGCAACCCUUAUCUUUAGUUACUAACAGGUCAUGCUGAGGACUCUAGAGAGACUGCCGUCGUAAGAUGUGAGGAAGGUGGA
rnacentral:rRNA from 1 species